rnacentral:rRNA from 1 species
GACGAACGCUGGCGGCGUGCCUAAUACAUGCAAGUCGUGCGGACCUUUUAAAAGCUUGCUUUUAAAAGGUUAGCGGCGGACGGGUGAGUAACACGUGGGCAACCUGCCUGUAAGACUGGGAUAACGCCGGGAAACCGGGGCUAAUACCGGAUCGUUUUUUCCUCCGCAUGGAGGAAAAAGGAAAGGCGGCUUCGGCUGCCACUUACAGAUGGGCCCGCGGCGCAUUAGCUAGUUGGCGGGGUAACGGCCCACCAAGGCAACGAUGCGUAGCCGACCUGAGAGGGUGAUCGGCCACAUUGGGACUGAGACACGGCCCAAACUCCUACGGGAGGCAGCAGUAGGGAAUCUUCCGCAAUGGACGAAAGUCUGACGGAGCAACGCCGCGUGAGUGAAGAAGGCCUUCGGGUCGUAAAACUCUGUUGCCGGGGAAGAACAAGUGCCGUUCGAACAGGGCGGCGCCUUGACGGUACCCGGCCAGAAAGCCACGGCUAACUAC